AAUGUCGUGUGAUGCUACAUAAAACCGUCCCUAAUUUUCGGAAUUGCCCGUCGUCUUUUAAAGUAUCCACGACGAGUUUUUACGGCGACAUGCUACGAACCGUGAAUCUUGGGAUGUACACUAAGUAGGAGGCGACUCUCAACCCUGAAGGCUAGAACAUUUAUGUUUUACUGACGCUAGGCAUGGUGUAUUAUUUGGCGUGCAUUAAUUU